rnacentral:rRNA from 1 species
CUUUAAUGGAGAGUUUGAUCCUGGCUCAGGACGAACGCUGGCGGCGUGCCUAAUACAUGCAAGUCGAGCGGACUUGAUGGAGAGCUUGCUCUCCUGAUAGUUAGCGGCGGACGGGUGAGUAACACGUAGGCAACCUGCCUGUAAGACUGGGAUAACUAGCGGAAACGUUAGCUAAUACCGGAUAAUUUAUUUCAUCGCAUGGUGGAAUAAUGAAAGACGGAGCAAUCUGUCACU